CAAUUAUUUUGCAUUUUGUAUAAGUUGCUGGCAUCCCUUUUCAUUGGCUCGGACUUUCACGGGCAGAUGCAGUAUCUUCCUCGACCGGCUCUUCAACAGUUUGUUCGCGGCAGCAGAUCUGAACUUUACUGUUUAACACGAUACCCAAGAGCUACCUGGGGUCUACAAGCUUCACAUCCAGGAUUUAUCUGCCUCUGUGGAGAAAAGGAGAGAAGUGGUCCUGAGAUGCCUGAUUGAGUACAUGGGGGAGAGACAGGAAGACCUCAUCAGUGUCUACCAUAAUCGUGCUGAAACAGAGGUGCACGCUGAGCUUUGCAUUUGCCCACUGAACAUUUACAUGUGCCAUCAUCCCGACACAACUGGUAUUAUCAUCGAAGGACAGCCCGUG